UUCCCACCCAGACACGGAGAUCAGGGAGCAGCAGCAUGGCAAUGGAAGAAAAUGCCUGUUUUCACUUUUAUGUACUUUCAAGUUUCUUUAGCAAGCACCAGUGACUAGAAUAACACGGAAACCUUAACGAAGAGGAGAAGGAGUAGGAGAAGUUUUAAAACAAACGGAGCUCACCCACAUCGCACAGUACCGGCUCCAGGCCUCAAAAGGCGGUGCCAGGGUACGGGCGCGCGCCUGCGCGAAAACAGGCGAUGGCGCUAGGGAAUCCCGAGAGGCCCGACCAAUCAGAAGGCGUUCCGAUCUGACUCCUAGAUCCUUGGCUGUCUGCUGUGAGAAGAGCCCAAGGACGCUCCAACUGCACGCACUUAACACAGGACACCAUGAGAGAAAAGACGGGAAGAGGAAAAGCGCAGGGAGGGACAUAUGGCCUAGAUUCUACCCAGGCAAGAAUUCUGCGGCCACUAGUGGCUCCAGGAACCACGCGGACUUGUGUUCUCAGCUCCUAAAUCCCCCAAGCCAUUUGAGAUUCUAUUUGUUCUUGAAUGUACCUCCUCUUUUGUAAUGAGCUUUAA